UACGUAGGGAGCAAGCGUUGUCCGGAAUCAUUGGGCGUAAAGCGCGCGUAGGUGGCCUCAUAAGUCCGCUGUGAAAGUCAAAGGCUCAACCUUUGAAAGCCGGUGGAUACUGUGAGGCUAGAGUACGGAAGAGGCGAGUGGAAUUCCUGGUGUAGCGGUGGAAUGCGCAGAUAUCAGGAAGAACACCCGUGGCGAAAGCGGCUCUCUGGAACGGUACUGACGCUGAGACGCGAAAGCGUGGGGAGCGAACAGG
rnacentral:rRNA from 1 species